CCCUGGCUCAGAGUGAACGCUGGCGGCAGGCCUAACACAUGCAAGUCGAGCGGCAGCGCGGAUGUAGCAAUACAUCUGGCGGCGAGCGGCGGACGGGUGAGGAAUGCGUCGGAAUCUGCCUCUUUGUGGGGGAUAACGUAGGGAAACUUACGCUAAUACCGCAUACGACCUACGGGUGAAAGUGGGGGACCUUCGGGCCUCACGCAGAGAGAUGAGCCGACGCCGGAUUAGCUAGUUGGCGGGGUAAAGGCCCACCAAGGCGACGAUCCGUAGCUGGUCUGAGAGGAUGAUCAGCCACACUGGAACUGAGACACGGUCCAGACUCCUACGGGAGGCAGCAGUGGGGAAUAUUGGACAAUGGGCGCAAGCCUGAUCCAGCCAUGCCGCGUGUGUGAAGAAGGCCUUCGGGUUGUAAAGCACUUUUGUCCGGAAAGAAAAGCAUUCGGUUAAUAACCGGGUGUCCUGACGGUACCGGAAGAAUAAGCACCGGCUAAUUU
rnacentral:rRNA from 1 species